GCAAGUCGAACGAACCUUUUCGGAGGUGAGUGGCAGACGGGUGAGUAACAUGUGGGUAUCUACCCUUUGGCCUGGAAUAACACGAGGAAACUUGUGCUAAUACCGGAUAAGUCUUUACGGAGAAAGCUUUAUGCACCAUUGGAUGAGCCCGCACUUGAUUAGUUUGUUGGUAGGGUAAUGGCCUACCAAGACUAUGAUCAAUAGCUGAUUUGAGAGGAUGAUC
rnacentral:rRNA from 1 species